GCUAAGCAGUUCUGAAAAGCACAGCCCUGGCUGUCUGCACCAUGGCCUGGGCUCCUCUCCUGCUCACACUUCUGGCUCACAUCACAGGGGCCGAAUCCCAGGCUGUGGUGACUCAGGAAUCUUCACUGUACAUCUCUCCUGGAGGGACAGUCACGCUCACCUGUGCUUCCAGUACUGGGGCUGUCACAACCAGUAACUACGUUGACUGGAUCCAACAGAAACCAUACCAAACACCCCAGCAGAUAAUUGGUGACAACAGCAAUCAGGUCCCCGGUGUCCCUGCCAGAUUCUCAGGCUCAUUGCUUGGAGACAAGGCUGCCCUCACCAUCACAGGGAUCCAGCCUGAAGAUGAGGCCACCUAUUACUGUACCUUGCAGUAUAGCAACCCUUUCCAUUGGGUGUUCGGUGGAGGCACCAAGCUGACCGUCCUAGGUCAGCCCAAGUUUGCUCCCACAGUCAGCCUAUUCCCACCCUCCUAUGAGGAGCUCCAGGACAACAAGGCCACAGUGGUGUGUCUCCUGAAUUCCUUCUACCCUGGCUCCGUGACAGUCAACUGGAAGGCAGAUGGCAACAUUAUCACCCAAGGUGUGCAGACCACACAGCCUGCCAGACAGAGCGACAACAAAUACAUGGCCAGCAGCUACCUGACCCUGACUCCCGACCAGUGGAGGUCUCACCAGAGAGUCACCUGUCAGGUCACACAUGAGGCAGGCAACGUGGAGAAGAGUGUGGCCCCGUCAGAGUGUUCUUAGCACCCCAAACUCAGGCUCUCCUCAGGGGGCUGAAGUAGAAGAACUCUAAGGAAGAGUCUCUUUGCUACCCACCCCCCACUCCUGACUUUCUCUUUGAACCCAUUAUUGCUCAAUAAACUGUCCCUUGUCAAUCAGA